UUGCGCGCUUUUCCCUUGUGAAGGGCGCGUUUAGGAGAGAACAGUACGAUGGCCCGUAUCGCAGGCAUCAAUAUUCCGAAC
rfam:Acidiferrobacter thiooxydans strain ZJ Contig_78, whole genome shotgun sequence.